rnacentral:tRNA from 1 species
AGCCCGAUAGUCUAGUGGCCAAACAAAUUUUUGGGCUAGGGAUUCCAGGCUCUGGACCUGGAGACGGCAGUUCGAAUCUGCCUCGGGCUA